GACGAACGCUGGCGGCGUGCUUAACACAUGCAAGUCGAACGAAGAGCGAUGGAAGCUUGCUUCUAUCAAUCUUAGUGGCGAACGGGUGAGUAACGCGUAAUCAACCUGCCCUUCAGAGGGGGACAACAGUUGGAAACGACUGCUAAUACCGCAUACGAUCUAAUCUCGGCAUCGAGGAUAGAUGAAAGGUGGCCUCUACAUGUAAGCUAUCACUGAAGGAGGGGAUUGCGUCUGAUUAGCUAGUUGGAGGGGUAACGGCCCACCAAGGCGAUGAUCAGUAGCCGGUCUGAGAGGAUGAACGGCCACAUUGGGACUGAGACACGGCCCAGACUCCUACGGGAGGCAGCAGUGGGGAAUCUUCCGCAAUGGACGAAAGUCUGACGGAGCAACGCCGCGUGAGUGAUGACGGCCUUCGGGUUGUAAAGCUCUGUUAAUCGGGACGAAAGGCCUUCUUGCGAAUAGUGAGAAGGAUUGACGGUACCGGAAUAGAAAGCUACGGCUAACUACGUG
rnacentral:rRNA from 1 species